UUUGUUGUGUGUGUUGCUGAGUGGUAGCGCGCGUCCAUGUGCAUUUCUUCGGCGGCAUGUUCGCGUACGUUCGUUUCCGCGACGACAACGAAAAGCGAAUCGUCCCAGUGGCUGCAUGUAAACACCUCAAGCCGAACGAUACGAGCGAUUUUAAUCCUCGCAAAUGGUACAAAGUCUUCUGGAAAGAUGAAACACACUGCGACCACUACCACGUGCGCUCAAGUGAUUGGGCUUUACGGUAAGUGCAUGACCGCCUCUUUGUUUUCCAAAUACAAAAACAAAGAUGAGGAAGCAGUCAUUCUGAAAUUAUCCACUCGUCAUGUUUUUUUAGCUACCGAGGACGAUGCAAGGAAGGCGACCGAAAAACGAACUUCCAUUCCGCAAAGACCUGGCAGCGACUCCUCCUAUAGCUGCAGUUCAAAUGAAGUGGAUGGAUCGUUUGAAGAAGAAACGCAGCGUCAAGCUGCUGUUAAACAGAAAAUGAAGGAUGUGAGCAGCCAUUUUAAGAAGAAGCAGCGAGACCUCCUGUUUGGUGAUGCUGAGGGAGGAAAAAAGACCGAGAAAGAACUUCUCAAAGAAGAAGUGAAUAUGCUGAAGGCCGAAAAUUCAAAACUCUUGGACCGAAUAAGAAUGCUCGAAAAGGCCCUAUGCAGCAAAAUUUUCAAAACAGAAAAAAACCUCGUUCUGUGUGAGGGCUGCAGCCGCAAGCCAGAACAACAAGUUGCGCCUUUGCCAUCGCCACGUGCUGCCACGCACCACCACCAUGCAGCCGCCGCGCACCGCUACCGUGCAGCCACUGCGCACCACCACAGCGACCCCGGGCAGCCCUGAAGUGGCCCACACAAGUGCGAGGGAGGCCGAUUACGUGCCCAUUGACGGAGAGGUAUUGUAAAACUCUAGUGUGCUUUGUCUUAAAGGUAUAAUGCUUUGCUGUAAUGAGAAAAUGUGCAUUGACAUAUUGUUGUGUGCACAUCAUCUUUAACUUGUUUUAUAGGUGCAUCUGGGCAAAGGGAUCACCAUUCCUGAGGGCCUGUACAGCCGCCUCAUGAGCACAAAAAGCGAAACACGCUUUGUUCGUGAGGCGGCUGUUGCCAUUUAUUCAACUGCAGCCUUGGUUGGGCGGAGUGUAAUUGGAACAGCCUCUAACCGGACAAAGGGAGAGGCAAAACCUCCCUUGGAUAAAGAAAAAUACGCUGUGCUUUCUGAUUUCUUCAACCAUUUUUUGAAAAGCAAUUUUCCAAUUGGAGAGGUCGAGCAAAAGAAGAAGAUACUAAAUAAGGCGCUCGCAAACAAAAUUAACGAUUUGAUGAAAUCAAAAGAUUAAGAAGUCAAUGGAACAUCAAAUAAAAG